CUGCAUUGAGGUCCUUGAGUUUUGAAAGGUUGAACAAGGGUCUUAAUGAGCUUGGGAUGUGAAAUUUAUUGUUUGAAAUAUCCAACAAUUGGAGGGAUGUUAGACUUUCAAGGGCAGAUAUAUUUCCAGAGAACUGAUUAGAAGAGAGGUCCAAAGAUUCAAGCAAUGUUAGGCUUUAAAGGGCAGAUAUAUUUCCAGAGAACUGAUUGGAAGAGAGGUCCAAAGAUUCAAGCAAUGUUAGGCUCUUAAGGGCAGAUAUAUUUCCAGAGAACUGACUGGAAGAGAGGUCCAAAGAUUCAAGCAAUGUUAGGCUCUUAAGGGCAGAUAUAUUUCCAGAGAACUGAUUGGAAGAGAGGUCCAAAGAUUCAAGCAAUGUUAGGCUCUUAAGGGCAGAUAUACUUUCAGAGAACUGAUUGGAAGAGAGGUCCAAAGAUUCAAGCAAUGUUAGGCUCUUAAGGGCAAAUAUAUUUCCAGAGAACUGAUUGGAAGAGAGGUCCAAAGAUUCAAGCAAUGUUAGGUUCUUAAGGACAGAUAUAUUUUCGAAAAGCUGAUUGUAAGAAAGAGAUAACUUUUUAAGGGAGGUGAGGUUGGAGAAACACAUGGGUAAGCUACCCCUUAGAUUAUUGCCAUUGAUAUCCAACUCUUGGAGAUUUAUCAAUUCACAGAAAUCUGCAAAAGCAGUAGUAUUAUAUGUAUAUAUUUAAGGAGUUUACAAAUAGGUACAAAUCUAAAUAACAAAUAAUAUGUUAAAUUAAUUAGAAUUUUAAUCAACUCAAUAUAAAAUAUUCAAGGGUGAAAAUUAGAAUAUAUUCAAAUCUAAAUCAAAAUAAAUUUAAGUAAAACUCAUAUAUAAUGGACUUGAAAUUUACAAUUAUUUGGGAGAGAAUCUACAUGUGAUGGGAUUUGAAUCUAGGCAUUCAAGAUGCUAAGCCCUAAUUCUUUGCCUUUAGUGCUAGUUAUAUUGCUUAAGUUUAAUUUUUUUUUUCUGGUCCAUAUGCUUUGUAGAAUUAAAAAUUUUAGUCUUUCUACUUGUGCAAUUUGAAAUUUAAAGGUUAAUUGGUGUAUUGUUAAUGAAUUUCCAUUUUGAAUCCGAAUAUCCAUUUUGAAUCCGAAUAUUAUCCAUAUCCAUAUCAAGAUGCUAAGCCCUAAUUCUUUGCCUUUAGUGCCAGUUAUAUUGCUUAAGUUUAAUUUUUUUUUUCUGGUCCAUAUGCUUUGUAGAAUUAAAAAUUUUAGUCUUUCUACUUGUGCAAUUUGAAAUUUAAAGGUUAAUUGGUGUAUUGUUAAUGAAUUUCCAUUAAAUUGAAAUAUAUGCAUUUUAAUAUUCAAAGGUUUGAUUCAAGUAGUUAAAUUUUUUAUUUAUAUAUAAAAUCAAAAUUGUAAAGUGGAUUUAAAUAUCUUUCCUUUAUGGCUUUACAUGAAUAAGCAAAGCAAAUUCAUAUGUAUUUAUCCAUAUCUAUUUUGAAUCCAAAUAUUAUCUUAAUUUGUAACAUUUGAAUAUAGAAAAAGCAGAUCAAAUCUAUGGAUAUUUUAAUCUAUACUCCAAAUUACCACAUUUAAGAGAAACUAAAUUUAAAAUUUUAAAAAUUCAACACAAUUAUAUAUAUUAUAUCUAGAGAUAUAUAAAACUAAAAUGAUGAGUAACUUAGAAUAGAACAUUUACCAUUCAUAGGUGGAGUGUUGUUACCAUCAAUACCAUGGGCGGUCAAAUUUUUAAGGGAAAUGAGUGGUCCAAAAACUUGAAUAAAGUUUGAAGGUAAAGAUGAUUCAUGCAACUCCAACUCUUCCAAACUUCUUAAAUUUAGCCCUUCUGUUCAAUUACAUUAAUUGCAAGUUAUAUUUUGAAGAAAAUAUGAGAAACAAAGUAUUUUUAUAAAACUAUGAAGAAAAUAUCAAAUAUGAGGAUCAAAUCCUAACAAAUUAAAAUAGAGAAUUAACUUCUCAAUUUUCAUAAAAUAAAGGAAUGCAAUUUAUGAUUACAACAUUUUGAGUAUUCUUAUAUAUUAUUAAAAAAAAGUUUAAUAAUUUAUUGCAUUCUCAUCUUUACAUCCUUUCAUAAUUUUUUUUUUUUUGAAAAUAGAUCCACAGAAUGCAUUAGUUUGGGGGGAAAUUACAACAUUGGAAAAUAGUUUCCUAAAAAACCACGAGGCUGCCUAACAUUUUGUCACUUGUCACCUCAUGCACUGCUAACAAUGGGCGAUGCCUUGGGUGAGAAAAACCCUAAAAAAACUUAAACCGCGCCUUAACAUCCUUUCAUAAAUUAAAACUACGAAAUUAAUUAAUCAAGAUUUAUUUAUUUUUUUAAAAUCUGGAAAAUGGAUUUAAAACAAAAAUUUGACCUUUCAAGUAAACAAUAUUAUCAAGUAUCUAAUAUUAAGGACAAUUUUAAAUAAAAAUACUUAAAAUCAAAUAAAUAUUAUCAUAAGAGGAAAAUUGAAAGAAUAAAAUUACCUUGUCGAGUGAAGUUUUUAUUGACCUUACAAUAGGACAACUCUAAACGCUUCAAUGAAGUAAAUUCUGCUGUAACAGAGGCUUUCAAUAUCAAAAUGUGUGUGAAAGACAAAAAGGCAAAGAUAUUAGAGAAAUAUUCCAACAAAAUAUGUACCAUCAAAUAUAAAAAUAAAGUAAUUAAAUUUAAAAAAUGCGAUGAGUAUAAGGACUGUAUGCAUAAUUAGACUUACAUAUAUAAAUUAAUUCAUAAUAUUUAAUUUGUAAGAAAACAUCAAAACUUACCAUUGUGGGAAUAAAAAGGCAUUGUGGUUUCAUUAAUAUUAAAUCCUUGUAAAGAAAGAGUCUUCAAAGUGGGGAAUAAGCCCAAUGAUUGUAAUGAGAAGCUACAACCUGCAUCUGCAUCUGCAUCUGCAUGUAAAACAAUGCUUUAUUUCUUUAGAAUAUGUGUAAUUAACAAGUCAGGGCAAAUAAAACAAAUCUUUAUUUCUUUUUCCUCUUCUUCAUAUCUAUAAAUUUUAUAGUUUACCCCCCCCCCCCCCAAAGAGUAGAGUUUAACAUUACCUAGAUUGCAGGCCAUAUUCAGCUCCUCCAAAUUGCUGAAACCAUAAAAAUCUGAGGAGAAUCAGAAAUGAAAAAUAGUUUAGUUCAAAUAAAGCUUAUGAAUGUAUAUUACUCAUUCAAUAUUUCUUUUUUCUUCUUAAGAAAAUAAAAAUACUGAGGAUGGGGAGAAGGGUGAUUUUUACCUUUCAUAUCUAUUAAUCCAUUGCAUUGAUAGAUAUCAAUCCACAGAGUCUUUAGAUUCGAAAGUGUAGCAAGAGAUGACAUUAUACUAUUGUUGAAAUCAUUACGACUCAAAUCAACAACUUUCAAAUUCAUCAGCCUUAUUCCUGCACCAUUAUCAAGUAACAACAUUUUUAUUUAUUUUAUUCCAUAAAAUAUUUAUUUUUUUAAAUUAACACGUGUUUCUUUUUUUAAAUAUUUUAUUAUAUCUAUAUGGGACACUUGUCAAUCCAAUUACUUUACUUAUGAAGUUUAAAAUCUCCACAAGUAAUAUACCAAAUAUUUUCUCUAAGUUUAUAAUAAAUUUAACAAUAACAAAAUUUUAAAAAAAUAAAUUUAAUGUUAAAUUGAAAAAUUAAAAAAAAUCAUAAAUACCUUGAGAUGGAAUAAAUCCAUUCACUUCAUUACCGGAUAAGAUCAAAUCCUCUAAAUUGCUGAGAGCAUUUAAAUCUGAAGAUAACGUUAUAAAGGAAACUAAAAAUAAGUGUUUUUUCUUUAGCAUGUGAAAACUAAUGGGAACUAUUCAUUUAGCCUACUACAUUAAUUUGAGUUAGAUUUUGAACAAAGUUAUUUUCAAUUUCCCACUUAAUUAUUUCAAAACAAUAAUUAUUCUUUUGUAAAUGUGAAAAUGAGCUUUUCGAUUAAGUUUUGGUCUAGCUUGAACGGGUUUAUUCAGUUUAACUUAUGAAAUUUUUAUUGUCGGUGAUAAAUAUUAGGCUAAGUAUUGAAAUAGAGAUGAAACUUUUUAUGAGUUGCACAUGAAUCAAAACUUCCAAAAUAAUUAAGUAAAAGUUAAGUCUUCCUCAAAUAAAAGAGAAACCUUACAAAAUGACCAAAUAAGGGUUGAACCUUUUCAAUUGUUCUCAAAUAAGGAUUUUUCAAAUACCAUUUAACAUAUUUGAAAUUAUGUUUUUUUUUUCUUUUCAAAUAAUAUCUUAUUAAACCGUCUAUAUUUUAUUCUAAAUACGUCAAUCUUCAUCUAAUUUUUACUUUCGAAAGAGCAUGACUUUUUUUUAAACCAUUUUGAAAGGUAAUUAGGUGCUUGCAAAUAAAUGUUAACAAUUUAUUUAAUAUAAUUACAUAUUAGUAAGUUACAGCCUUUUUAUAUAUAUCUAAUUAAUUGGAAAAUGGAUGAAAAGCAUUUAAUUGUGAAAGGAAAAUUGCAAAUCAUAUAAAAUCAAAAGAUACCAUAUUCUUACCUUUUGUAUAUAUUGCCCCCUCCAAUUGGUUAUAAGAUAAAUCCAAUGACUUCAAAUUCGAGAGCACAGCAAGGGACGGGAAUAUGCUAUUGUUAAAGAGAUUAUCAUAUAAACUAAGUACCUCAAGUUUGUUCAACUUCAUUCCUUCUUUUCCUGAAAAGAAAAAAAAGUUAACGUAAUUUCAUCUUAAAAAAGAUCAUAUGUUUGAAGCCAAGUGAUUUACCAUGGAAUAAAGACCCAAGGCUGUUAAUUUCAUUUCCCCCUAAAUACAACUCCUUCAAGUUCAUCCAAUUAUUAUUGCUUUCUGUUCAUAUCCAAUCAAAAUAUAUGUUAGUUAAUCAAGUUAUUUAAAAAGGGAUAAGAUAACAUUUACUCCCUGAGUUUUGUAAUUUUCUCCAACUUGGUCCUUGAACUAUUUUUUGUCCACAUUAGUCUUGGAAUUUAACUUCUUUCUAUAGCUUUGGUCCAUGAGAUGAUGUCGCACUAUGAGAUUAUGUCAUGUCAUCACCUAAAUUCUUGAAAAUUAUUAAAUUCAAGGACUAAAUGUUGCUUUACCCUUAUAAAAACAACUAACUAAUAAGCUUUCUAUAUUUUUUAAUCAAAUUAAACAUGAUAUUCAAAAAGGAAACAUGACUUGUAUAUCAAGGGUUCCUUUUAGUCCGCAAUACACCAAAUGCAGUGAUUUUAAAGAGGCAAAAUCAUUUAGUUGUGAUAGGAUGUUAUUUCCUAAACGGUUGCUAGAUAAAUCCAAACUUUCUAAAUUGUUCAGCUUUAAUAACAUCUCAAUACCUAUCAACAAUAAUAUUAAAAAAAAAUUGGACAAAACAACUUUAAACUUGGAUCAGCUCUGCAUCAUAUAUAAUUAAAUAUUAACUUUACCGUUGGUAGGAUUUAAUCCUGUGAAUAAAUUAUACUUUAGAUUUAAAGACUUGAGUGAUGCAAGUUCACUUAAGGAUGCUAAAAUGCUAUCGUUGAAAUGAUUUUCACUCAAGUCAAGAUUCUCCAACUUGUCCAACUUUGAUGACAACCUUUCAAAACCUACAAGGAAUAAGGAAAUAUAGUAAAUUAGCAAUGUCGGGGAUAAGGUCUUCGCUCCAAAAAAUAUGGUAAAUUUUUAGUUUAAUCCAUUCCAAAACUAUAAAUUGAUGCAAUAAUUAAAAUGUCAUUUCAACGAUAAACAAGUAGCUGAAAUGAUUUUUUUUAACAUACAAAAUAAGAAAAAUAAAUAAAUGCUCAUAAUAAAGUUGAAAGGUAAUAAACCUUGAUUGACAACACAACCGGCUAUGGAAUUUCCAAUUAAAGAAAGACUUUGUAAUUCCUCAAAAGGAAGAAACAAAGAGGCAUUAAGGUACCAGUCCAUCUUAUUGUAGCCGGAAUAAUUAAGGAAAAGAUGGGUGACUCGUCCAGUUAUUGGGUUGCAUUCAACCCUUUCCCACUCACAACAAUUUGAUGAACUCUCUUUUUUUGGAUUUAACUCAAAGUUAUUGGGUUGAAACUUAUAAUUAAUGAACUCAAAGAAAGGUUUGAGUUGGAAGAGAGCAGAUCUUUCCUCCUCUAAGCACCCAUCACACAGCCCAGCUCCUAAGGAUAACACUACAAGAACCAAGGCCAACCAUUUCAACUCCAUCUCACCACUUUAUGCAUUUGUAGCCAAUGCACAACCCCUUUAUAUGCUAAAAGAAAAAGAAAGAAAGCUUCAUGUUUCCAAGAAAUUCAUUCACAAUCGCUCAAAUUGUUUACUUUGUUUUUCAACUUUAUCAUUGAUAUUUUCAUGGAACCCUCUUAUUUCUCUCUUUUUUCCACAUUAAAGAUACAUAUGUUAAUGCAUAUGGCUAAUAAGGAGUCAAUCCCGUGUGGACCACUAUCUUUUCUUUACUUUCUUUUCAUAUACAGAACAGACUCCUUCAAAUUCAUGUGCCAUUGUUUCUUGUCUUUGAUCAUCCUAAAUGCAUCCACAGUUGUUUCUUCAAUUUCCAAUUGUUGCUGCUUUGCUGAUUUAUUGUGAUAAAAUAAGUUUUAUUAUCAGGAGAAAACCAUUAAAAAAAUUAAUGUAUUAUUAAAAAAAAUUAAAUAAGACCAAAUAGGAAUAUAGUUAACUUUCAUUGUUUAAUGCAAACAUAAUUUUUACUUUUUUUUUCAUUUAGAAUUCAACACCAAACAACCUUUGUUGAAACAAUGAAUGAUAUUUUUAAAUAGUAAAGGUUAACUUUGUUUAAAUUUGGCUUUAUAUAAUUUUUUUAAAAGUAUAGAGACUAAAUUGAUCCAUUUAAUAAUAGAUGAAUUAAUUUGAUCUGAUCACUAUCACAGAGGGACCUACCAAGUACAUUCACUCUUUUCUAUAGAUAUGGUUUGGUUACACUAGAUGUCCCAAAACUAUGAUCCAUGUUUUAAAUUAGACUUCAAAUUUCAAGAUACUUUAAUUAAGUCAAUAGAUUAUCAAAAUUUCCAUCAAUCUGGGCAUCAUAAUGGGCAUUAAAUACUAACUUAAAUAUUAUAUGGAUCAUAUUUAAAAUAUAUGAAUCGAAUUUUAAUGACAACUUUGAUGUAACAUAUUAAAAAGAAAAAAGAAGUCUCUUAAAUUUUAAAGACACUAUUUUAUAUGAAAGACCUUGUUCAUACAAUAUUCAACAUAAUUCUUAAAUAUAUACACAAUGAAAUAUACUAAUAUUCAACAUUCAAAUUGCAUAUAUAUGAAAUGUUAGAUGCUAUUACUGAUGGUUUUCUAUGAAGUUUUGUUUGAAGGUGGAAAUUUAAUUACAAAAUAAUGAGAAUUUAAUAACAUAUUGGUGUAUUACAAAAUUAAACAUAUUUGACUUCUUUAGGAAAAUAUGUUAACUUCAAUAAAAAUUAAAUAUUUAAAAUUUAUAUUUAAUUUAGUUAUAUAUUAAUCUGAUGAAAUCAUGAAAUUAUUUUAUAUAAAAGUAAUUAGUUGCUAUUAUUGAAAAAAUUAUGAUGUAAAAAAUAAAUAAAAUUAAAAAAAUGAUUAGGCCCCUCAUGCUUCCAAGAAACCCAUUCCACAAAGGGUCCAUUCAUCCCUUAAAUGGUUUAUUUUUUUCCCCAACUUUAUUACUUUUAAUUUGGAUGGGAGACAAUAUCAAUUAACCCACCGCUUACGUCCGGAUUUAAUAAAACAAUUUUUAUUUUACUAUAUUUCAAUUAUGGACCCCCCCCCCCCCCUAUUCAUGAUGAUUUGUUUAAAUUACAGACUCUUUCCACUCGUCCCUUAAAUGGUUUACUUAUUUGAUAUUUUCCAUGGAAGCCUCUUAUUUUCCACGCUAAAGAUAUAUAUGUUAAUGUGUAUAUAAAUGGCUUAGAAGGUGCACAGUGACUCAAUCCCGUGUGGACCCUAAUUCAAACCAUUUUUCUUGUUGCUUUGCGGAUAUUUUAAACGGUAAAUGGUAUUUUUGUUCAAAUUUCACCUUAAUUUAUAUUGUAAUUGUAUAGAGUUUAAAUUGAUUCAUUUAAUAAUAGAGGGACUAAUUUGAUCGGGUCAUUAUAACAAAGAGACUUGCUAGGUACAUUCACCCUGCACUAUAUAUAUGGUUUAAUUAUUCUAAACAUUCCAAAACUAUGAUUCAUGUCUUAAAUUAGACUUAAAAUUUCAAGCUAUUUUAAUUUAGUCAUUAGAAUAUCAAUAUCAUAUCAACCAGUCAUUCCAUGAGUCAGGUUUGAAUAUUAUGUGGAUCAAAUUUUAAAUGCAUAUGUACUUAUCGUAUUAACAACUUAAAUCUGACAUAUUAAAAAAAUGAAAUAGUUCUUUUAAUUUUAAAUGUAUAUUUCUUAUCCAAGUUUUCAAUACAAUAUCCAGCAUAAUUCUUAAAUAUAUAAAUAAAAACUUUGAACCUCAUGUGAUGGCGUGAUGGUUAGGGGUGUUCACUGCCUCAAGUGUGGCCUGAGUUUGAGUUGCGCUAGUCGUAUUGAUUGUUCGGACUUUGCCAUCUUAUUGUAAUUCACCAGAAAGAAAAUCAUGUUUAACUUCAAAAUAUUUUAAAUUUAUAUUUAACUUAGUUAUAUAUUGAUGAUGAGAUGAAUUUAUUAAAUUAUUUUAUGUAAAAUUAAUUAGUUACAAUUAUUAAAAAGAUUAUAAUUGAAAAAUUGAUUAAAAUAUAAAUUUUAAAAAUUUAUUAAGCCCCUUGUGCUUCCAAGAAACUCAUUCCACAAAGGGUCCAUAUAACUUUUUUUUCCCCAACUUUAUUAUUGAUAAAUUCCAGGAAAAGUAUCUUUUUCCAGUCUUCUAUUAAUUUGGAUGUGAUAGAAUACUAACAUUUACAUGACUCGUUAUCACCCACCGCUUAUGCCGGGGUUUAAUGAAACAAUUUUUUAUUUAAUAUUAAAUUUUGUUUAAAAUUUAUUAAAUAACAAUUAAUUUAUUAAAACUCAUUAGAUAUUAAUUAAUUAUUUAAACUCUUAUUUUGAAUUUUUUUAUCAAAUAUGUUAUAUUUUUGUUAAUUAUAAAAUUUGAAUUUAUGAAAAUAUUUUUUAUUAAAAAUAUAUGAGAACCUUAAAUUUAUUCACAAGUUAUUUUAUGGAUACUUCAUUUUAAAUUAAUCUUAAAAGUGAAUAUUCAAAUCAACCCUUGUGUCGGUAAAUAAUGUUGAGUAUGAGUCAGAUGAUUUAUUGACAUAUGAAAUCAAAUUAAAUAAUAAAAAAUUAAUUUAAUUAUAAAAAAUAUUAAUAUUAUAUAAAAAUAAUAUGUGAGGGAUAAAAUCAGAUUAUGAAAUUAGGUGAAGCUGGCCCAACUUCACGAUUAGACAUGCAAACUUUGUGCUUUCUACGCUACAAGAAAUAGGAAAAACCCCUCAUGCUUAAAUGGUUUACUUUUUGUGCUUUAUAUACUACUAGUUCAAUAAAAUGGGAACAAACGUUGAAGAAUGAAAAAAAAUGGGCUCAUGCUGCUUGAAUGGCAGAAUAGAAAUGGGAGCAACAAAUGUUUGGGUUUUAUUUAUUAAGGAUUUGGACUUUGAGUUUGAUCAUGCUUGGGUUUGACUAAACAACUAUAUGACUAUAUGACUAAACAACUCAAGCCUUCUCCGAAAUAUCCCUCAUGUUUCACUCCGUCUAUGGAUUUGAAUAAGUUGAAGCGAUCUAAUGAUCGAAGAAAAAUGCAAUAGCAAAAUCAUGACGUUAUAAGUUCAGAAACUUAUGUUUGGAGAAUCUAGAGAAAUUAAAUUUAAACGACUUGUAUGACAAACAUUAGUUCCCUCUUUAAUUGUUGGAACUAUCUUCCCUGUAAUGAGUUUUGUUAAUUUGUCUUUCGCUGCUUUCUCUUGAAUGCAGGCUAACUCUUUUGGAUUUUCACUUUCCUCGUAUCAUUAACUGAUUCGGGUUAGGGAUUUUCUAAAACAUUCUCUGCCUUCAGGUCAAACAGAAACUUAGUCCUGCAGCAUAUAAAGAUUUUGUGGGUUAUACGAAGGAAAUAGUCCAAAGUGGUAAAAGAUUGGUAAUCCUCUGCAAUGCAUUGUGGAGUUAUUUUCAGGACCUGAGAGGCUUUCUCUUCUUGAAAGGUAUGCAUCUACUUCAAAAUAGCAAUAAAUUUGAAGACUGAGAGCAAUUACGUUACAUUGUGCGGUUUUAGUAGGCUUAACCUUGUAUACAUUGAGCAGACACUUUCUGAUGCUCAUCCAGUUAAUGCCAUAUUGUGCGGUUUUAGGUUUCACUGGAAAUGUGGCAAAAUUAAUUUCAUAUUCUCAGCAUGAGUUAAUGAUUUAUAAAGCUAAGCCUAACAUUGUCUGAAAUCAUCAAAUAUGUUAGAGCCUUAAAGGCUGCAAGUCCCAUCAGAGGUCUUAUCUGCAACACUAGCAAAGAAACAAAUUGCCUCUAUUCUUUAGCGUGUCAUUCAUUUCCAUGCCCCUUUUUAGCUUGCAACUAUUAUCGAUUAUUUUUAUUGGAUCUUACCCUCUGUUGUCAUCUGUUACAGAUUCAAGGAUUACGUGCCCGCGAUAUAUCGUUCUUUGUAUGAGCAGUACCUCGAAACAAGUACAAGAAAUGCUUGAAAAUCAGAGGAACUAAACUUAUCUGGUCAAAACAGUAAUUAGACGCUCCUUUUGCCAAUGUGAUCGGUUAGAAGUGAAAGAUUGAGACUUUGGCAGCAUUGUACUUUCUAGAUCAACAAUCUUUGAAGAAAUAUACAAACAUUAUGGAAGGUUUGUAUGCAGUAUAUUGCAACUUUGCACAGCGUUUGGAAGCUUUUGGAUGUGUAACCAAGCAGCCAAGUUGCUCAUUUGUUUGUGGAGGAAAGAGACUUAUUCAACAUGAAGGUGGUGUUACACAUAGCAAACAAUAUUUCCAUAAUUAUUUGUUGCUACUACUGAAAUUAUGAAGGACUAGACCUGGUGACAGCUAACAUUUUGUACAAAUUGAAAUCAAACCAACUGAAAUAGCAGUGAAACUAAGAAUAUGGCUUGUGGGAGUUUUUAUUCAGUUCCAUAAGAGCACUUUAAAUCGACGUCUUAACACAGUCGCUACAUAUAAACAUGGCAUUGCAAUCGACAAAUUUCACAACAAAAUUUUCUACAUGUUUCCAGUAUAAAAAUUUCUGGGGAAAUUAUCUAUCAUAAAAUAGUAGCAGGAAUCAACGGCCAUUUGUAUAUAGUAAAACCAUGCUUGCCUCCAAUAAGGAUUUAUGUACAGCACAGCUGCGAUACACAAUAGCACCAUCACGUAACAUGCGAAGAAGCUUGCAUAGAAGGCAUCCAUAUCAAUGAAACCAUGGUCUUCUUUGUUGCCAGCCGAAGCCUUGGGUGUCAAUGGUGUUUCCACGGGCGAACAAUUCUUCCCCACCAAUGAGCCACAAAGAAAAGGAUUCCCGACGUAGUUGCUUUCAUCAAAUGCUCCCAACUAUCCAAUCCUUUCAGGUGUCUUUCCAGAUAAAUUGUUGUAUGACACAUUGAAGUAUUCCAGGAAAUGUAAUACAGCAAAUUCGGCGGGGAUAUUCCCUGUCAAAUUGUUGUAGGAAAGAUCUAGGCUUUCCAUGUCCAUGAGGUUAGAAAAUGCUCGUGGCACAGGUCCGGUCAAGCUAUUGUGAGAAAGGUUCAAUGUGAAGAGUUUCAUAAUGUUUUUUGUUUCAAAACUAAUUUCACCCGUAAGCUUGUUGCAGGAGAGAUCAAUUCCAGACAUGUAUUGAAGCAUUCUUCUCUUGUAAUUGUAGGAUCUGCUCUUUACUGUGUAUUCUAUUGGAACUUCAAUGGACAUCGAGCUAUUCAUACCGGAAUAAAUACUAUACUGCGGAAUAUAUUGCUCAGUCAGAUAGUUCAGCGCAAAAACUUUUAAACAAGAAGGAAUAGCACCAGAGAGAUUGUUUUGAGAAAGAUCAAUCAAGCUUAAACGAUCCAACUUGCAUAAUUGAAUUGAAAUUUCACCCUCAAAGUGGUUUCUCCUUAAGAGAAGAUAACUUAAUUCAGAAAGAUUGCUAACCCAAUUUGGAAUGUUACCCUUCAAGUGGUUGUAGCUGAGAUCCAAUGUCACCAACGAAGAGCUAUCAUGAAAAGCAUUUGGUAACACUCCUUGUAGCUUAUUUUUAAAUAAAUGAACUUCCCUCACCGAUACCGGUUUGAAGCAAGAUGGUAGAGUCCCAGAUAAAUGGUUCAUGGAAAGGUCCAAAAAUUGAAGUUUGAGAUUGAGACUACAAAUUGCCCUUGGUAUUGAACCUUCAAGUUGAUUAUCUGCCAUGGCAACUUGUUCCAAAUUCGAAGCAUUUCCCCUCCAUUGUGGCAACCUACCAAAGAGUUGGUUUCUGCUCACAUCCAAUGCUGCUAGCUCUGACAUAUUCCAAAUCCAACUUGGGACAUCACCAUAGAUAUAGUUAUUGCUAAGAUCUAGUAUAUACAAGUGAGAGCAAUUAGCUAAGACAUUUGGGAUCAUCCCAGUGAAGUUAUUUCCACUUAAUUCGAGCUCUAACAAGCUCGUUAGAUUAAAAUUUCCAGAGAAAAUUGAUCCUUGUAAUUUGUUAUUUGAUAAUGCAAGGAAUUGUAAUGAAGAACAGCCCAUAGCCAUGUGCUGAGGUAUCUCUCCAGAUAAUUGGUUGUUUGAUAAGUCCAAAACUUGUAGGGAACUCAUAUCACCAAAUGAAGAGGGAAUGCUGCCAUUGAAAUAAUUCCUUGACAUGUUCAAAUAACCCAAAAAUGGGAGGUGUGCACCCAUUCUUACUGGGAUGUUGCCACCGAAGGCAUUGUUGGAUAUAUCCAAAUGUGAUAAAGUAGAAUGCACACGCGAUGGCACUUGAAAAGGCCCUGAUAGAGAGCAAUUCACGAGAUUCAGGGUCACUAGCAUCGUGUUAUUUUCCAACAACCAAAAUGGAAAUCGAUCCACCUUGAAAUAUAUGUCUGAGAGAGAAACCUUCUGCAAUUCACUUUGAUGGUACAAGAAUUUUGGAAAUGACCCAACACUUCCACAACAAGAUAAGUUGACGGAACUUAAUUGGAACCUUGGAGCCAAAGAAUGCGACAUCUCAUGAUCAUCAGCAUGUAUGGUGUUGUUAUCUGCAUAGAGGUACUUGAGUUUUGAAAGGUUGCACAAGGGUCUUAAUGAGCUUGGGAUGUGAAAUUUAUUGUUUGAAACAUCCAACGAUUUGAGGGAUGUUAGACUUUCAAGGGCAGAUAUAUUUCCAGAGAACUGAUUAGAAGAGAGGUCCAAAGAUUCAAGCAAUGUUAGGCUCUGAAGGGCAGGUAUAUUUCCAGAAAACUGAUUAAAAGAGAGGUCCAAAGAUGCAAGCAAUGUUAGGCUCUGAAGGGCAGAUAUAUUUCCAGAGAAUAGAUUAAAAGAGAAGUCCAAAGAUUCAAGAAAUGUUAGGCUCUUAAGGAUAGAUAUAUUUCCAGAAAACUGAUUGGAAGAGAGAGAUAACUUUUUAAGGGAGGUGAGGUUGGAGAAACACAUGGGUAAGCUACCCCUUAGAUUAUAGUGAUUGAUAUCCAACUCUUGGAGAUUUGUCAAUUCACAGACAUCUGCAAAAGUAGUAGUAUUAUAUGUAUAUAUUUAAGGAGUUUACAAAUAGGUGGAAACCAAAAUAAUAAAUAAACUAUGUUCAAUUAAUUAGAAUAAUAAUCAAUUCAAUAUAAAAUAUUCAAGAGUGAAAAUUAGAAUAUAUUUAAAUCUAACUCAAAAUAAAUUUAAAUAAAACUCAUACAUAAUGGCUUUAAACUUACAAUUAUUUGAGAGAGAAUCUACACCUGAUGGGAUUCGAAUCUAGGCAUUCAAGAUGUUAAGCCCUAAUUCUUUGCCUUUAGAGCAUUUAACUUUUUUCUCUGAUCCAUGUGGUUUGUAAAAUUUAAAAUUUUAGCCUUUCUACUUGUGCAAUUUGAAAUUUAAAGACUAAUUGGUAUAUUGUUAUUAAAUUUGAAUAUAUGCAUUUUAAUAUUCAAAGGUUUGAUUCAAAAAAAUAGAAGUAGUUAAUUUUUUUAUUUAUAUAUAAAAUCAAAACUAUAAAGUGGAUUUGAAUAUCCUUCCUUUAUGGCUUUAUGGGAAUAAGCAAAGCAAAUUCACAUGUAUAUAUCCAUAUUCAUUUAGAAUCCGAAUAUUAUCUGAAUUUAUAACAUUCGAAUAUAAAAAAAAGCAUAUCAAAUUUAUAGAUAUUUGAAUCUAUAAUCCGAAUUACCACAUCUAAGAGAAAUUAUAUUUCAAAAUUAAAAAAGUAACACAUUUAUAUAUACUAAAUCUAGAGAUAUAUAAAACUAAAAUGACGAGUAACUGAAAAUAGAAUAUUUACCAUGUAUAGGUGGAGUGUUGUUACCAUCAAUACCAUAGGCGGUCAAUUUUUUAAGAGAAAUGAGUGGUCUAAAAACUUGAAUAAAGUUUGAAGGUAAAGAUGAUUCAUAUAACUCCAACUCUUCCAAACUUCUCAAAUUUAGGCCUUCUAUUCAAUAACAUUAAUUGCAAGUUAUAUUUUUAAAAAAAAUAUAUGGAAAACAAAGUAUAUUUAUAAAACUACGAAGAAGAUAAAGAUUUGAAAUUAUGAGUUUCAUUCUUUUAUUUUACAUAAAUUGAGAUGUUAGUUUUAUCUAUUUUAAUUUGUCAAAAUUUGGUUCAUGUACUUUGUGUAAAUUAAGAAGCUACUCUAGUUAUUGGUAAUAAUAUAUAUUCUCAUCUUAACAUCCUUUUAUAAUUUUUUUUAAAAAAAUAUUAUAACGUUCAAAAAACAAUUUCCUAAAAAAAAAACCAUAAAAAAUUAAAACCGCACCUUAGCCCUUUCAUAAAUUAAAACUACUAAAUUAAUUAAUCAAGAUUUUUUUUAAAUCUAGAAAAUGGAUUUAAAACAAAAAUUUGACCUUACAAGUAUAUAUUAUCCAAUAUAUAUUGUUAAGGGCAAUUUUAAAUAAAAAAUGACUUACAAUCAAAUAAAUAUUAUCAUAAGAGAGAAAUUGAAAGAAUGAAAUUACCUUCUCGAGUGAGAUUUUUAUUGAUCUUACAAUCCCACAAUUCUAAACGCUUCAAUGAAGUAAAGUCUGCUGUAACAGAGGCUUUCAAUAAUAAGUAUGUGUGAGAGACAUAAUGGCAAAGAUAUAUAUUAGAGAAAUAUCCCAACAAAAUGUACACCAUCAAAUUAUAUCUUGUACUAUUUACACAUUUAAAAAUUAGUCUCUCUACUAUUAAUCUCGGAAAUUUAAUCUCUCUAUUCAUUUGAUUUAAUAAUUGAAAUUCAACUGAUAACAUCAUCUUUUCGUUAAAUUGGAUUACAUGGCUUUUUUAAAGAUAAAAUAUUUACUCACGUGGCUAACUACAUUUUGCAGAUUAUAACAUUAUUUGCAAAUACUUAAAAUGUGUAAUAAUUUGAUCGAACAAAAAAAAAUUUACAUGAGUGGAAGGCCAAGCAAACAAAAAUGUUGAAUCUAGUAUUGUAAGAUUUUCGAUUUUGAAUCUAAAAUUUUAAGGUUCUUAGCUUUGUUUCAAAGAAAGGAGAGUGAAUGCUGGUAUUUUUAUUUUUCUGACAUAAUGUGCCCUUAAAUUGGCAAUAUGAGCAAAAUUUUCUGCUUUAAAAAUAUCACACAAUCCAAAUGAAUACAAUUAAAAAUGGAUUAAUUAAAUUUAAAAAAAGCGAUGAGUAUAAGGACUGUAUGCAUAAUUAGACCUAGAUGUAUAAAUUAAUUCAUAAUAUUUAAUUUGUAAGAAAACAUCAAAACUUACUAUUGUGGGAAUAAGAAGCCAUUCUAGUUUCAUUAAUAUUAAAUCCUCUUAAAGAAAGAGUCUUUAAAGUGGGGAAUAAGCCCAGCGACUGUAAUGAGAAGCUACAACCUGCAUCUGCAUCUAUAGCUGCAUGUAAAACAAUGCUUUAUUUCUUUAGAAUAUGUGUAAUUAACAAGUCAGGGCAAAUAAUUAAACAUUUUUUUCAAAUGUCUAAUUACCUGGAUUGCAGGCCAUAUACAGCUCCUCCAAAUUACUCAGGCGAUUUAAAUCUGAGGAGAAUCAGAAAUUGAAAAAUAGUUUAGUUCAAAUAAAGCUUAUGAAUGUGUAUUACUCAUUCAAUAUUUCUUUUUUCUUCUUAAGAAAAGAAAAACAGAGGAUGGGGAGAAGGUUGAUUUUUACCUUUCAUAUCUAUUAAUCCAUUACCACUCAAAUUCUUUAGAUUUGAAAGUGUAGCAAGAGAUGACAAUAUACUAUUGUUGAAAUCAUUACCACUCAAAUCAACAACUUUCAAAUUCAUCAGCCUUAGCCCUGCACCAUUAUCAAGUAACAACAUUUUUAGUUAUUUAAUUUCACAAAAUAUAUUUUUUUUAAAAAAUUGAUACGUGUCUCUUUUGUUUAACAUUUUAUUAUAUCUAUAGACAAUUAUCAACCUAAUGAUUUUACUUAUGGAAUCCAAAAUCUCCACCAAUAUACCAAAUAUUUUCCCUAAAUUUAUAAUAAAUUUAACAAUAAAAAAAUUAAAAAAAUAAAUUUAAUGUUAAAUUAAAAAAAAUCAUAAAUACCUUGAGAUGGAAUAAAUCCAUUCACUUCAUUAUCGGAUAAGAUCAACUCCUCUAAAUUGCUGAGAGCAUUUAAAUCUAAAGAUAACAUUACGAAGGAAACUAAAAAUAAGUUUAUUUUCUUUAGCAUGUGAAAACCAAUAGUAUAUUAAUUGAAAUAUUUAAAGCAUUCAUAAUGGGAACUAUUCGUUAAGCCUACAACAUUAUUUGAGUUAGAUUUUGAACAAAGUUAUUUUCAAUUCCCACUUAGUCUCUUUUAUUAUGUUAAUAAUAUAUAUAUUUCAAAACAAUAACUAUUCUUUUGUAAAUAUGAAAACGAGCUUUUCGAUUAAGUUUUGGCCUAACUUGAAUGGGUUUAUUCAGUUCAACUUAUGAAAUUUCUAUUGUCGAUAGUAAAUAUUAGGUUAAGUGUUCAAGUAGAGAUGAAACUUUUUAUGAGUUGCACAUAAACAAAAACUUUAAAAAUAGUUAAGUAAAAGUUAAGUCUGCCUCAUACAAUAGAGAAACCUUACACAAUGACCAAAUAAGAGUUGAACCUUUUCAAUUGUGCUCAAAUAAUAUCUUAUUAAAUCGUCUGUGUUUUAUUCUAAACAUACCAACAUUCAUCUAAUUUUUACUUUAAAAAAGGCAUGACUUUUUUUUUUACCAUUUUGGAAGGUAAUUAGGUGCUUGCAAAUAAUUAUUAACAAUUUAUUUAAUAUAUGUCUAAUUAAUUGGAAAAUGGAUGAAAAGCAUUUAAUUGUGAAAGGAAAAUUACAAGUAAAACUAAUAACAAAUCAUAUAAAAUCAAAGGAUACUAUAUUCUUACCUUUUGUAUAUAUUGCCCCCUUCAGUUUGUUAUAUGAUAAAUCCAAUGACUUCAAAUUCGAGAGCUCAACAAGGGAUGAGAAUAUGCUAUUGUUAAAGAGAUUAUACCUUAAAUUAAGUACCUCAAGUUUGUUCAACUUCAUUCCUUCUUUUCCUGAAAGGAUAAAAAAUUUAACGUAAUUUCAUCUUUAAAAAGAUGAUAUGUUGGAACAACAAUUAAUUAGCCAACUGAUUUACCAUGGAAUAUUGACCCAAGGCUCUUAAUUUCAUUUCCCUCUAAAGACAGCUCCUUCAAGUUCAUCCAAUUAUUAUUGCUUUCUGUUCAUAUCCAAUGAAAAUAUAUGUUAGUUAAUCAUGUUAUUUAAAAAGGGAUAAUAUAACAUUUAGUCCCUGAAUUUUGUAAUUUUCUCCAACUUGGUCCUUGAACUGUUUUUUGUCCACAUUAGUCUUGGAAUUUAACAUCUUUCCAUAGCUUUGGUCCAUGAGAUGAUGUGGCACUAUGAGAUUUUGUCAUGUCAUUACCUAAAUUCUUGAAAAAUUGCUAAAUUUUAGGACUAAUGUGGACCAAAAAAGUUUAUGGACUAAGUUAGAAAAAAUUACUAAAUUCAAGGACUAAAUGUUGCUUUACCCUUAUAAAAACAACUAACUAGUAAGCUUUCUAUUUUUUUAAUCAAAUUAAGCAUGAUAUUCAAAAAGGAAACAUGCCUUGUAUAUCAAGGGUUCCUUUUAGUCCGCAAUACUCCAAACGCAAUGAUUUUAAAGAGGCAAAACUGUCUAGUUGUGAUAGGAUGUUAUUUCCUAAACUAUUGUCAGAUAAAUCCAAAGUUUCUAAAUUUUUCAGCUUUGAUAACAUCUCAAUAGCUGUCAACAAUAAUAUUAAAAAAAGGGUCAAAACUACUUUAAACUUGGAUAAGCUUUGCAUCAUAUACAAUUUAAUACUUUUACCAUUGGUAGGAUUUAAUCCUGUGAAUAUAAAGUAAGCUAGAUUUAAAGACUUGAGUGAUGAAAGUUCACUUAAGGAUGCUAAAAUGCUAUGGUUGAAAUGAUUUUCACUCAAGUCAAGAUUCUCCAACUUGUCCAAUUUCAAUGACAACCUUUCAAAACCUACAAGGAACAAGGAAAUAUAGUAAAUUAAGAUCAAAGAAAAUGUGGGCAGACAAGGGUCUUGGGUCCAAAAGAUAUGGUAAAAUUUUAAUUUAAUCCUUACCGAAAUUAUAAAUUGAUGCAAUAAUAAAAUGUCAUUUCAACAACGAACAAGUAGUUGAAAUGAUUUUUUUAACAUUCAAAAUAAGAAAAAUAAAUAAAUGCUCAUGAUAAAGUUGAAAGGUAAUAAACCUUGAUUGACAACACAACCAGCUAUAGAAUUCCCACUUAAAUAAAUGUUUUGUAUUUCCUCAAAAGGAAGAAACAAAGAGGCAUUAAGAUACCAAUGUAUCUUCUUGUAGCUGGAAUGGUUAAGGAAAAGAUGGGUGACUCGUCCACUUAUUGGGUUGCAUUCAACCCUUUCCCACUCACAACAAUUUGAUGAACUCUCUUUAAUUUCAUCCACCAAGUAAUCAUAAUAGAUUAGAUCUAAUUCAAACUUAUAAUCAAUGAACUCAAAGAAAGGCUUGAGUUGGAAGAGAGCAAAUCUUUCUUCCUCUAAGCAACCAUCACACAGCCCAGAACCUAACGAUAACACUACAAGAACCAUGGCUAACCAUUUUGACUCCAUCUCAGCAGUACUUUAUGCAUUUGUAGCCAAUGCUGCAACCCCUUGUGCUUUAUAUGCUACAACUUAAAUGAAGAACCCCCUCAUGCUUCCAAGAAAUUCAUUCAUAAGGGUCCACUCAUCACUUAAAUGGUAUACUUUUUUGUUUUUCAACUUUAUUAUUGAUUAUUUUUCAUGGAAACCUCUUAUUUCUCUCCUCUAUUAAUUUGGAUGUGAUAGAAUAUUGAUAAACUAGUAUCAAAUAUCCUCUACAUACGUCGGGGUUUAAAUAUGUUCCUAUCAAAUUUAAAUUGAUAAUUAAUGCUUAACUUUAAAAUAAUAGAAAGACUUUAUUGAUACCAUACUCAACAUAAUUAUAAAAUAUAUAAAUAUAUUUUUUUUAAAAUGAUUUAUGUUGGAUAUUAUUUAUGAUGCCUGUUUAUUGUAACUUUCUUAUGAAGUUUCAUUUGAAGGUGGAAAAUGUAGAUUUUUGUUUCGAUAGUUUGAAUUAUUAUUGAGAAGACCUUGACUUAGAUGAUGGCAUGGUAAGGACAUGUUGUUUGAUUGUGAAAUUGUAAUGCAAAACCGCAGGUAGAAAGGAUUUAUAACCAUUGAUUUCAGACAAAGCAACAUCGUAAAGAAUGUGUGGUUGUAUGUCCGGUGAAUUGGUUGAAGAGUGAUGUGGGUACCAUUUGCAUUCCAUGUAUAAGAGGGAAAGUUGAAAGUAAACGCUGGAUUCUCACGAUUAUGGAGCCCCCCAAUUGACAAUGAUUGUUUAAAUUACAAACGUCUAAACUAAGUUAAAAAGUUAAGCUUUUGGGGUCUUUGCAUUUCAUUUCUCCGGAAUUACAAUUUAUUUUAUUUAAUUAAUAUUAAAAAUUAUGAAUUAAUUCUUAUUUAAAAUCUAUUAAAUAAUAAUUAAUUUUUAUCAUAUAAUUAUAAAUUAAAUUUUAUAAAGGAUAAUUAUUUGAUACACAAUUUUUUAGACUCCAUAAACGGGUUGAGUGUGUGGCAAGUGUUACAUUUUUUUUUAUAUAAUUAAUUUUUUUAAUUUUUACCAUACCCUAUAAUAUACUUUUCAAACCUUUAAUUGAUUUGUGGAGUCUAAAAAACUUCACUAGUGGUGUAUCAAAUAAUUUUCCUUUUAUAAAAUUUGAAUUACUUAUUUAAACUUUUUAUUUCUUAUUGUACCAAAUAUAUUAUAUUUUGUUUAUCUUAAAUGGACUCCUAAGUUAUUUUAUUGAUGAAAUAUUUUUAAAAAUUUAUUUAAAAGAAAAGAUAAUUAUUUUUUAUUUUCCCAAUUGGUGGCUUAAAUGAUCUACAUUUCUCCAAGCUUUAAUAUUUACAUGUGAUUUUACGUGUUUAGUAUUUAGCUAUUUUUUAAAUAUUGUACUUUCAAUCACAGUGAUUAAUAUAAAGCAAUAUUUUUUAUUUGAAUUAUUGGAUAUAAUUAAAAUAUAUUAAAUUAUCAAUUCAAACAUUUUAAUAGAAAUUUUUUUGAGUCAAUUUUAAUAGAAAAUUUUCAAAUAACAAUUAAUACAUUUUUAACGUAUUAAACAUACAAUAUAGUUUUACUUUAUGUUUACGAUAUUCAUAUCGGUCAUAAAUUCAAACAUAAAUACGAAAAUAUAAUAUUACAAAUAAGUGAAAAAAAAAGUUUAAAAUGAUUAAAUACCGAAUAAAUACCCAUAUUGAGAAAGUUGUAGAAUUACAUCCCUACUUGAGAGUAACAAUUUUGACAAAUAAGAAGUUGAUUGGUUCUAUUUAUCACAAUUUCACAUUAUAUUUUUGUCUAUUAAAUAAUCAUAACAAACACAAUUCACUUUUAAAAAUUAGGUAUAAUGCAAAAGAAACAAAAUUGUUUAAAGGCUAAAUAUGUCAUAGGUUUCUAUACUUUUCAUAAUUUCAAAAUUUAGUCCCUUCUAUUUUUAUAUUUCAAAAUUCAGGUCAAAUUGUCAACAUUGUAAAAUUUUUUAAUUAAAUUUAUUGAUGUAAUAUUUUGAAAUAAUUUUUUUCAUUUAAUAACAAUUAACUAAAAAAAUAAUAUAAUGAAUCUGAAUUUUUUUAAUGUAAUUUAACUAAAAAAAAUAAUCACUUGAUGCUUGAAUGACAGAAUAGAAAUGGGAGCACGAAAUAUUUGAUGGCAACAAAAGGUAUGGCAAGAUAGUACUUUAGGGUUUUGUAAAAAAUAGGUUUUAGAGUUAGUUUGGGUAUUAUUUAUUAAGGAUUGAAUUUGAAUUUUGAGUUUGAGUUUGAUAAUGCUUGAAUUUGGGUUAGAUUUAGAUUAUAUAUUUAAAUUUUUAAAUAGAAAUAUUAUAUUUAAAUAUAGUAUAGAUCGCGUAGGUUUAAAUUUAAAAAAUUCUGUUCAAAAUUCAGUCUAAAUACAAUAUAAGCCUAAUUUUUUAUGGAAUCUCAUUUUUGGGGUUUUAUAUUCUUCUUCUAGCUCACUCAUAUUUUGGGAGGGUAUUUAGGCUUGGGUAAGUAGCACCAUCUUUGGACAGCUCUACUCAUUUCUAUUAUAUAUUUUUUACUAUAUCCUACAUUCACUUGUCAUCACCCCAACUAUUUUUGUGAUGUUUUCAAAUUUCAACAACGAUAUACCAAAUAUUUUUCUUAAAACUUAAAAAGAAAAGUUAAAGACAUCUGACAAUAUCUUAAAUCUAUUUUGAAUUAAUAAAUUUUUUCAUCUGCUAAGAGUUUUAGCAUGUCUCUUUUUUCUUUUCCGUCUGCUUAAUGAAAACGGGGGAAUCGACUUUUGAAAAACAGAAAUAUGGAGUCGCCACCGAUCUUUUUGUUUUGGUGUGAUCCGGUCACCUAAGAAUUUGGUUAUUUUAAUAAAACAUUUUUGGUUUACUAAAACAACGAUUCUGGUCUACGAAAAUAUGAGAAAACGGGCUCGGGAGUCGGUUACGUAUGAGGAAGGAUUAGUACCCUCACUACGCCCAAAAUUGGUACCAAAUCGAUUAAAUACUGUCCUCAUGUCUAAAAUUAAAAAUGUUUUUGAAAUGUGGUUCUUUUUUAAUAACAUUUGAAUAACCCGAGUUGGUUGUAAAAAAUCUUCUUGUUUCGACGUCCGAAAAUUUAUAGUUCGAAAAUCACAAAAGGAUGCUCAACUAUUUAGUCCAACGAAAAAUCGAAACCCAGCACAGUAGGGUACGAUUUCUCGAAUUUCCAAACAUUGAUCAUUGCCUCACCUUAGAAAAUACGAGUGAAAUUCCGAAGAGAUAUUCGAUUAUUUUGAACAAGCGGGAGAUUGCAACCCAGCACGAUAAGGCACUAUUCCCCGAAUUGCCAAACACCGAACAUUUCUUUCGCUUUAAAGAGUUUUUAGAAAACGUGAGUGAAAUUUCGAAGGGAUCUUCUAUCGUUUCGAACAAAUAAAAAAGCGCAACCCAGCACGAUAGGGCACGAUUCUCGAAUUGCCAAACAUCGAACAUUGCAUUUGUUUUAAAGGGUUUUCUUAAAAAACAUGAGUGAAAACCUAAAGGAAUAUUCGAUUGUUUUGAACAAACAAGAAAUCACAACCUAGCACGAUAGGGCAUGAUUCCCGAAUUGUCAAACACCGAGUAUGGCCUUCGUUUUAAAGGAUUUUUAGAAGACCUGAGUGAAAUUUUGAAUGGAUAUUUGAUUAUUUUGAGCAAACGAGAAAUUGCAACCCAACACGUUAGGGCACGAUUCUGCGAAUUGCCAAAUAUCAAAUCUCGCAUUCGUUUUAAAGAAUUUUUAAAUGAAUAAUUAUAAAACUAGCUUAAAACGUAUUAAUUCGAUUUGAAACAAAACGGAAUUAGUCUUAAAGAUUUGGACCUUAUAAAACCGAAUUUCAUAAACCGAGUGAAUUUCAUAAACCGAGUAAAAAAACAUGAUAUGGGGUAAUACACACAUAUGAUACAAUGCCAAUUAACAAACUAAUAAUCAAGCAAGGCUAAUCUAAGACGAAUGUAAUCGGACUUCUAAACAUGGAUGGAGCAAUUGAUAUAACAAUAAAAUGAAUAAAUAAUAUGCAACGAUAAUGAACCACAAUAAUGUAAAUAACAUGAUAUAAAACAAUCAAUGCAAUGCAUAAAAAAGGAUAACACUUAGAAGCCAACGUGAUAUGAAAUGAUUUUAAAAUAAUGACGAAUAAAUGAAUACAUAAAUUACACGAUAUAUAAAUUGAUAAAUUUAAAACCAUUUGUAAGAGCAAACUAAAGGUGUAUACACACGAUCUCUAAAAUAUAUGUUAUAGGAUGAACAUUUUCAAAUCGAAUGAUAUGUAAAGUAUUAAAGGAUUUUGGUCUAAAAUUAACAAUUUGCAUAUAAUAAAGAAAAUUUUAGAUUAUGUGUAAGCUAUAAAAAAUAAUGAUAAUAAGAAUGUAUAAUAAAAUAUAAUUUUUAAAACAUAAUGGAUUUACAAAUCUCAUAUAUACGUGAAUGUUAUAGCCCAAUUUUACCCUAAACCCAUUACAGUUAAACCCAGCUAACCUAUCAGCCCAAUAACCUAAAUACAUAAACCCCAAAUAACCCAAGGCCCAUUACAACUUAAAACCGGUUGGCCCAAAACCAACUUAAUACCCAAGCCCAAUUAACCCUUUGGCCUAACUAGGGUUUCAGAAAAGCUGAAACCCUAGCCACUUUCUGAGAACCCCAGCGCCGCAAUGUCCCAUCCCUACUUGCCUCUGCCAAGUCGGCCAACUGCCCCACCGCCACUGCACCGCCGCCAUGCUGGUCACGUCCGCCACCUGCUCCAUCUGCAAGACCAAGCAAUCACGCAAACAAUAGAUUUAGGCAUUGUAAAGGCUAUAAAAAGCCAUGAAAACCAAUGUAAAAGGAUUCGGCAAUCUUAAUAAAAAAUAGAUUUCAAUAAUUAGAAACACAAAAAAAUAAUUUCAAUACAUAUGCAAAUAGUGGUUUGAAGGAAGAAAUAAUACAAGAACAACACCAAAACAGAGAUCCCAAAAGCGAGAAUCAAAAUCGAGAAACCUAAGGUGAUCUUUUUCUUAUUUUAGUUUUGAUUUUUUAGGCCUAUUUUAUACAUAUAUAUAUACUAAAAAAUAUAAGAAAAUAAUAAAAUAAACAACAAUAAAAAAGGGAGAAAAUUUUACCUUUUUCGAAAAUCUGGCCACCGUGUACUGUGGCCGGCACCGGCGACGGACGGCGGCCGGUGAGGGUCCGGUGACCGGCCCAUGGCCGGAUCCCUUCCCUCCCCCUCUCCCUCUUCUCUCCUUCUUCUCUCCCCCUUUUUUUUUCCUUUCCCCGUUUCAAAAUGAAUUUUUUUUAAAAAAAUUGUCUUCUUUUAAAUAAAACGACGUCGUUUUUGCCCCGGGUCGGGUCGACCCGACCCGCUCCAGGUCAGGAUCCGCGUGUUUUUGAGCGGAAGGGCAAUUUGUGCAUUUGGCCCUUCCGCUUUUCUGGGAUUUUACAAUCAAGUUUUUUUCGUUAUUUUUAAUUUGGCCACAUAAGUUUUUGCGAUUUUCAAUUUAGUCCCCUUAUAUACUGUGCGUUUUGAUCGAAGGGGUUUAUUUUGUUUUUAGUCCUCCUACUAUUUGCGCGUGUUGAAAUAGGUCGUUCUCUUUUCUUUUUUAUUUCAAAUUUUCCCUAAACUUUGUUUUUUAAUUCGAAUUUGGUCCUUUUGCCAUUUUUGCUCUCAAAUUAAAUUUGUAAUAUUAAUUCUAUUUAAUACUGUUAUUAUAUUUACUAUUAUUAUUUAUAAAUAUUAGUGUACUUUGUAUGUAUAUAUUAUUAUUAUGUAUAUUUUUAGUAUGUAUAUAUAUAUUUAUGAAGUAUUAUUACUAGUUGUUUAUAACAUUAUUAUUCUUUAAUAUAUUAUGCAUAUGUUUUAAUACUAUAUUAUAUAUAUACAUUUUUAUACUAUGUAUACAUACUUUUAAUAUUAUAUUUCAUAUGUAUACUCUUAACAUCAUAUUAUUAUAUAUAUCAUGUACAAAUUUUUAAUACUUUAUUAUAUAUAUGUUCUUAUAUAUCAUGUAUAUUUUAGUACUAUGUUUUAUAUAUCUAUGUUUUUUAAUAUAUAUAUUAUUUAUAUUUAUUAUUAAUAUUAGUACAUAUAUUUUAUUACACGUAUAUAUACUUUUUAGUAUUAUUUUCGUAUAUCAUAUUAUUCAUUAUUAUACAUGUAUAUAUAUAUAUUUUUAGUACUUGUUAUAAUAUUCCCUUAUUAUAUUAUUGUGCAUAUUAUUUUUUGUUCAUUUCUUCAUUAUUUUUAUUUAUAUUUUUAAUACUCCUAUAUUCUUAUAUUAUGUAUCUUAUUAUUUUUUUUAUACUUAUUACGUAUAUAUGUUCUUUUAAAACAUCAUCGUAUUCAUGCAUUUUAUCAUAUAUGUAUGUUGUAUAUGUUCAUUUUAAAUAUAUUAUGUGUAUAUAUAUAUUAGUACCUACAUUUAGUAUUAUUAUGUAAACAUCUCUCAUUCCAUGUACAUAUUUCUAUAUCAUCUUAUGUAUGUAUAUUUGCAUGCAUAUAUUCUUUUAUAUAUUGCAUACAUACACUUUUUAAUAUAUCAUAUGUAUAUACUCUAUUAGUUAGUUUUAUAUAUUAAUUCAUGAGUAUAUUUCUCAUGAUUAUUUCAUAUAUGUAUUUUUUAUAUGAUGCUUAUUAUUAUUAUUAUUAUUACUAUUAUAUAUUUCAUUAUAUAUGUGUAUAUGUAUAUAUAGUAGUUUUCAUUAUUUCAUUUCAAUAUUUUGGUAUUAUUUGUUUCUUUUUCUUUUAUAAUAUUAUUACAUAUUGGUGUGUAUAUCUCUUUUGUGUAUAUAUUUUUCAAUAUUUAUUUUAUACAUAUGUAAAUAUUACGUAUAUAUUUUAACAUUACAAGUUAUGUUUUUACUAUCUUAAGUAUAUAUUUCAAAAGCUAUGUAUAGUAUAUCUUUAACACUAUUACUACCUAUAUAUAUGUAUUUUGGCAUACACGCUCUUGAUAUCAUUAUUGCAUAUGUAUAUUCAUUGUUUUUUAUUUCGUGUUUGAUAUUGUUAUGAUGUUUAAUAUAUCGCGUGCAUUGCUAUUGCUUUUUAAUAUUAUUGUCAUGUUCGUUAUUUACUUCUAGAUCUGUCUUUUAUUUAGGUUUAUUUCAUAUCAAUUUGCUUCGCAUUAUUUCAAAAAUUAUCCAUGUUUUCUUAUUUAUUUUAAUAAGUAAAGCAAUGUAUCGAUUUAACAUUAAGUCAUAGAUUCCAUCGCUAUGUUAGAUGGAAUUUACCGGCUCGUGUUAAAAAUGGAACACCCUUCUAAAAAACUGAAAAAAGCUAAAAUUUCUCGUGUUCCAAUUGGAUUGCGAUUAAAUGUUACAUUGAACUUGCGAUUUUGAAAAUUAAGACAACACUUGUUUAAUAAGAUACCAAUUUUGGGCGUCACGAGGGUGCUAAUACCUUUCUCGUGCGUAACCGACUCCCGGACCCCCAUUUUCUCUGAAUUUUAACGUAGACCUAAACCAGACCUUCAAUUUUUGUAACGCCCCAAUUUUCGGGAAUUCUGUGAAUGUUGGCAUAGGUUUAAUUAUGUUAGUGGGCCUCUAGAAGGCCCAAGCUUAAGAUAGAACCCGACAAUUUUAGUUAAUUUUUGUUCCAUAAGAAAAAGGGGGUGAAAUUAUGAAAUAAGACCUAUGUGAAAAUGUUUGAAAAUGCUAUAGGCUAAAUUGAAGUGGCCAAAUAAAUAGGAGUGAAAAAUAGGAGGAUUUGCAUGACAAACCUCCCAUUUUACAUGAAGUGGCCAGCCAUCAUGUUGUUGUAGACAAUAUGAGCACUUGAUAUCCAUAAUUCAUGGUACAAAUUGAUAAUGGGUUAGGUAAAUGUUCCAUGAUAAUGGAUUAGGUAAAUAUUCAAUGAUAAUGGGUUAGGUAAAUGUUCCAUGAUAAUGGUUUAGGUAAAUGUUCCAUGAUGGGCAUUUCAUGUCUUUUGUAUUAAAGAAUUAAAUGGAUGAAAUAUGAAAUUUUAUUAAAAGAAAAAGGGGUGAAAAGAACAAAGUUUUGUCCAUCUUUGUUCAUCAUAGCCGAAAGUUAGAGAAGAGAAAGGAGAGGAGAAAGCUCUUGAAUGUUCGGUCACUUGGGGAAGAAAAUUGAAGGUAAGUUCAUGGUAGUUUGCUUCUAUCUUGAUGUUCAUGAGUUCUUCUUGAUUCUACCUUAACUCUUGAAGCAUAUUUUGGUUUUUAGUUGUGUUGUGAGCAUUUAGUCAUGAAUUAAGAUGAAGGAAAUGGUUGUUGUUUCAUGUUCUUUUGAUGAAAAAUGGAAGAUAGGUGAAGUUGAGCCAAACAAAUGAGCAUGCAUGUGCCUUAGAUGCUGAGGGGAAAAAUCGGCUAACAUGUUGUGCUUUAAAAUGAUGAAAUAGAGAUUAUACUUAAGUAAAAUCAUAUAUAUGUGAUGAUUGAUUGGUGAUAUACAUGUUUAAAUAACAUGCAUGCAAGUUAUGUGUGAAAGAGUGAAUUUGGUAAUAAAUCUGCUUGGGACAGCAGCAGUAACGUGACUUUGGAAAAUCACCAUAAAUUGUGGGAGAUGAAUUAGAAGCUGAAUAAAUAUGUAAUUAAAUCUUGUUGAGUCUAGUUUCAAAUGAAAUAAACGAGAACAUAUUUUGAAUUCUGUACAAUGAGAAAUUUGAUUCGUAAUGAAGAGUGGUCAGAUUAGUCAAACAGUGAAACAUGCGAAACUUUGAGAAAAAUCUGGUAUUGAUUGGCCAAACCAAAAAUUCUAAAAAUUUUAUGGAUAUAAUAUAUAUGAGUCUAUUUUCAGGGAAAAUUAACGGCACUUGAUUUGGAGUUUCGUACCUCCAGUUAUAAAUGAUUUAGUGACUGUUGCUCAGGAAGAUAGCUUGCAGUGAAAUUAUGAUUAUGUGGUAAACAUUGACAAAAAUUUGUUAAUGAGUUGCUUAUUGAUUUCUUGUAAGCUUACUAUGAUCUGUAGGUGUGGUUGGCCGAAUAUUGUAAGGGGUUAAUACGUAGUUUGUAUUUGAAUAGUUAGAUUAACGUGUUAGUAAUCCAAUUGUAGGCGGUUCGUGUGUGGAUCUCGUCAGCAUGUCGUCGCAAACAGGUGUGUAACUAACACCCUCUUUCUUAGUCUAGAUCGGCAAAAGUCGAAAAGUCGAAAUGCCGAAAACCGAUAUUUUGUAGAUUUGCGAGUGUGCGAAUGCUCGUGAGGUAAAUCGAUUAAUGUUUUUGGUAAGCUGCAAUGUUUGGACUGCAAAGUGCAUGAUUUCUGUGCCCUCGAUAUUUUUGGGCUUAAUGGGCCAAAAUUGGAAUGAUGGGCCAACGGGCCCAAUUCGGUAAGAACCCUCGGUAGUGAUUCUAUUAGUACGUGAAAAGUAGGAAUAUGCAUGAAAAACCCUAAAAUAGAUAAAUUACUGAAAUACCUUUAAAAGUGAAAAUUUUACAGUUUUACCCUUAGGAGAUAAAUUACCGAAAUACCCCUAGGGUUAAAUUGACUUAAAUGCAUGUUUGACUGUUGUUAUUUACUGCAUGCCAUGUUGUUAUUAUCUGAUGCAUGGGAUUGGGAUAUUGAUGGAGGAAGUACUGAAAGUGGCUUGUCCACGUACUGGAGGCUUUGCCUCAAUUUACUGUUAACUGAGCAGCAAGGCUGCAACUGUGAAGUGUUGGGCUGGGUGGGUUGAGUUAUUCCCCACAUGGAGUGUAUGGCUGGUACGGGUGGAGUGUAGUGGUUGGUGGGUUGAGUAGUCUCCCCAAAUGGGCUUGCAUAUGUUUAUUGAUGUUGCAUGUAUUUUGGAAUGGGCCUAUGGGCCAUACUGUUAUCUGAAUAAGGGGCUAAGGCCCAGUUUAUUGUAAUCUGAAAAGGGCUCUGGUCCAAUACCACUGUUACCUGAAUGGGCUUAGGCCCAAUAGGCUUGAGCUGACUUACACACUGAGUUUCCCCAAACUCACCCUUUUUAUUUUCAUCCACGUAGGAAAUUCCCAACCAUAGUAGGCUUGGAGCUGUGAGGGAAUUCAGAGUAGCCACCCGUUCUAAAAGUUUGAUUUUCUUCUGGUGAACUGGACAUCCUUUUAUUUACGUUUGAAGUUUUGGGUUUUUAAAUGUAAUAAGGCCGCUUAAUUAUUUUUUAUGGUUUUAGUAUGUAUUACUAAGAUAGGUAUUACUUAUUUUAACUGUUGAAAUUGGAUAGCUUUAGGGCGCGUUUUCAAAAACAACAAUUGAUUUCAAAAUAACACGACAACAAGCAAAGCUUCCGCAAUGAAAGUAUUUUCCAAAAUUAAUCACUUUUCCUAAAAAUGACUUAAUCAAAUCGGUUUCCUAGAAAUAUCCAUGACGUUAAGGUGUGGCAAUGGCAGUAUGCAUGUCUAGGAUUGAAUCCGAAGGGAGCUUGGUACUUAAGCAGUCCGAUGGACUUACCACCUCUUUUUCGGUUUCUUACCUGGUGCACAGCUUCCAUUCACUUUAACCUAUAAUGAAAUUAUCUUUUAAAACACUAAGUAAGUUUUUCUGGAUCAACAAUAUAAAAUGUUUUGAACGCUUUGAUGUGGCAUGUCGGAUCCAGUCAUAACGUCUGGGCCGGGUUUGGGGUGUUACAAUUUUGUUCAAGAAUCAAUUUUCUUUUCAAAAAAGACGAUGUAUUAGGUGUCCGAUCACACCUAAGAAAAAGGAUCGGUGGCGACUCCCUUUUUAUUUCAGAAUCAAACUUUAGUUUUCAAGUUUUCAUUAAAUCGCCACAAUUAGCGACCAAGCUAAUUUUUUACGUCGCUACAGUGAAUAACUUUUUAAAAAUAUUUAUUGGUAGAAACAUAGAAAUACCUACGAGCUUAAAUUAAUUUUAUUAUAAAUUAUAUGAUGGAUUGAAGAAUAUGCUUACAUAUGUAUGAAGAAAACUAUAUGUAUAAAAUGUAUGGUUUUGAUAAUGUAUAUAAAUCAAAGAUAUGUAUUAAUAAAAGUAUAAAAAUAAUUUAAAUUUUACGCAAAAUAUAUGUAAAACAUAUUAGAAUAACAAAAAUAUAGGUUAAAAUACAUGGAUAGAGUCAACAAACCAUUAGGUGUAUGAAAUAAUAUUAACUUUAUUUUAAUAUAUAUAUAUGUAUCUAAAAGAACGUUUUAAACAAACAAUUUUAAAGAAAAAUAAAUAGAUGAAUAUAUAUAUAGUUACACAUAUAGAUAUAUGUACAUGGAAUGAAGUUAACUUAUUAUAAAGUGUAUAUAUAUACAUAUAUAUAUAUAUAUGAUAAUGUGUAAAACAUUUGUACAAAAUACAUAAGUUUUAUUAUAAAAUAUGUGCGUGUAUAAUAAUACAAAGGAAAUAAACAUUUAAAGCAUACAAAAUGUGAUAAUAACAUUACAAACACAAAAAAAAAAUUAUAAUAAUGGAGAAACAAUUAUCAAAGUGAUUUAAAAAGUAAAAAUAAUUAAUUAAGAAUAAAAAAGAGGAUAAAACAAAGGAAAACUUAAUUAAAAAUAAACUAAAACAAAGGAGUUGUAGCGACGUAAAAAUUUUAGCUUGGUCGCUAAUUGUGACGAUUUAUUGAAAACUUGAAAACUGAAAUUUGAUUUUGAAAUAAAAAAAGGGAGUCGCCACCGAUCUUUUUUAUAGGUGUGAUCAGACACCUAAUAAAUUUAUUUUUUUUAACAGAAAAUUGAUUCUUGAACAAAAAUGAAGGCCGAGUUUAGGUCUACGUCAAAAUUCAGAGAAAAUAGGGGUCCAGGAGUUGGUUACGCACGAGGAAGGUAUUAGCACCCUCGUGACGCCCAAAAUUGGUAUCUUAUUAAACAAGUGUUGUCUUAAUUUUCAAAAAAUACGAGUUCAAUGUAAGAUUUAACCGUGAUCCGAUUUAAACACAAGAAUUUUCAAUUUUUUGAGUUUUGAGAAGGGUGUCCCAUUUUUAACACGAGCCGACAAGCUUCACCCAACAUAGCGAUGAAAUCGAUGGCUUAAUGUUAAAUCGGUACAUUGCCUUAUUUAUUAAAAUGAAUUAGAAAACGAGAAUAAGAUUUUAAAAAUAAUGCAAAGCAAAUUGAUAUGAAAUAAAAAUAAAUAAAAGGCAGAGCUAGAAAUAUAUUAAAGCAAAUAUAAGUGUGACAAUAAUAUUAAAAAACAAUAAAGAUAUAUGCCAUAUUAAACGUAAUACUAGAAUUAAACAGGAAAUGAAAACAAUGACUGUAUACAUGUAAUAAUAAUGAUAUUAAGAACAUGUAUGCCAAAAUAUAUAUACAUAUAUAAAUAGUAAUAGUGUCAGGAAUAUACUAUAUAUGAUAGUAAAAACAUAACUUGUAAUGUUAAAAUAUAUACAUAAUAUUUACAUAUAUAUAAAAUAAAUAUUGAAAAAUGUAUGCACAUAAAAAAUAUAUACACCAAUAUAUAAUAAUAUAAAAAAAGAAACAAAUAAUACAAAAUAUUGGAAUGAAAUGAUGAAAACUACUAUAUAUACAUAUACACGUAUAUAAUAAUAGUAUUAAUAACAAUAAUAAGGAUUAUAUAAAAAUACAUACAUGAGAUAGCAUGAGAAAUGUACACAUAAAUUAGUAUAUAAAACUAACUAAUAGAGUAUAGACAUAUACAUAUAUAAUAUAAAAAAUGUAUGUACAUAAUAAAAUAAGAAAAUGAUACAUUUAUAAUAAGUACAUGAAAAUAUCUAUACAUAUAUGUAAAUAAUAACAAUAAUAUUAAAAGUAAGUAAUAAUAGUGAAAAUAAUAAGAAUAAUAUGGUAUUAAGAGUAUAAAAAUAUAAUAUUGAGAGUAUAUAUACAUAUAAUAAAACACACUAAUAUUAAUACUAAUAAUAAGGAUAAUAUAGAAUAAUAUAUAUAUGAAAUAGUACAAAAAUGUAUAACUAAUGGUAUUGAAAUAUAUACAUAAUAAUAGUAUUACAAAGUGUACACAUAGCAUUAAAAAUAUAUACAUAAUAUGGCGUUGAAAAAUACAUACAUAAUAUAGUAUUAAAAUAUUUACAUAGCAUUUACAUAUUAGAAAUAAUAAUGUUAAAAGUACCUAUUAAUAAUAUUAUAUAAAUCUAAUAAUAAUAAAUAAUAAUAAUAAUAAUAACAAUAAUAGCAGUAAUAAUAAAAAUACAAAAGAAAGUUUGACAUAAUAAUAAGGUAAGGAAAGUAAAAUAUAAUAUAUUAAAUAUAAUAAGUAUAAUAGUAAAUAUAAUAAUGUUAAAAAAAAUACCAUACAUAAGGAGUAUAUAAAUACAUAUAUAAUAAAAUAUACACUAAUAUUUAUAAAUAAUAAUAGUAAAUAUAAUAAUAAUAAUAUUAAGUAUAGUAUAAAUAAUAUGUACAUAAUAGUAAUAAUAAUAAGUAACAAUAAUAAUAAUAAUAUAGAAAUUCAGAAAAAGUAAACAUAAUAUAAUAAUAUUAAAAUAAAAUAAUUUAAAAAAUACCAUGUAGAUAUAAAUACAUAUACGUAUGUAAAUAAAAUAUACACUAAUAUAAUAAUAAUGAUAAUCAAAUAAUAUUUAAAAUGAAAUAAAAUAAUGAAAAUAAUACGAAAAUAAACUACAAUCUAAAAAAGAACUAAAUUUUGAACAAAAACAAAGUUUUGGGGCAAUUUUAAAGAGAAAUAAAGAAAAAAGGAUCAAAAUGUCACACGCGCAUAACCUAGGAGGACUAAAAUAGCAAAUAUUCCUUCCCAUUAAAACACAACAUAUCAGUGGGGACUAAAUUGAAAAGCGCGACAACUUCCUGGGGCAAAUUUUAAAAUAAAAAACUUGAUUGCAAAAGCUUGAAAAAGCGGAAAGACCGUACGCGCAAAUUUCCCCUUUUCCAAAAACACGCAGAUCCUGAGGCGAGUCGGGUCGGGUCGGACCGAGCUUCAUCAAAACGACGUCGUUUUGGGGUUAAAAGGCAGCCCCCAAAACGACGUCGUUUUGGGAGGCUAUAAAAGCCCCAAAAUUAACAAAAAAAAAUUCAUUUGGUGAGGAGAGAAAGAAAAAAAAAGGAGAGAAGGAAGAGAGAAAGGAGGGGGGAGGGGAUUUCCGGCCAUGGGCCGGUCACCAGUCUGAUCGCCGGACCGUCAUCGGCCACCGCCGCCGGCCACCGUGGAUGGUGGCCGGAAAAGGUAAUUUUUUUUUUGCUUAAUAAUAUAUGUAUAUAUAUGUAUAUGUGAUUGAGUAAAUGAGAAAGGAGAAAAAGAAACCGAUUUAAAAAAGGAAAAUCACCUUAAGGUUUCGGCUACUGUUUUGGUGUUUUUGACUCUUUUUUCUUUGGACUGUUUUGUUUUUUUUGUUGCGUACUAACACAUUGUUUUGCUUCUAUUUCAAAAAUUGAUAUUUGUAUUUCUCAAAAAUUGCCGAAUCCCAUUACAAUAUUUUGCUUGGCUUUUUAUAGCCAUUGUACAUCAAUUUUUUUCAAUAUUUGCUGUCUUUUCUUUCUCUGAUUUUGUAGGUGCAAGUGGCGGUGGAAGUGACCCUGGUGCAGGUCAGCGCAAGUGGGUGAUUAGGGUUUCAGCUUUUCUAAAACCCUAACUUUAGUUAGCUGGGUUAUUUAGGGUUUUGGGCUUCUGGGUUUUGGGUUAGGUUGGGUUAUAUUAGGUGGGCUUCGGGUAUGGGUUUGAAAAUGGGUUAAGGGGUUUGGGUAAUGUAUUGGGUUUUGGAUUUAGAGGUUGUUAAGUGGGUAAUUUUGAGCUGUUUUGUAUUGGGUAUUGGUUUAAUGUAAAUGGGCUUUUGUAAUGGUAGGUCAAAAUUGGCCUGCAACAGGGGUAAUUCGGAAAUAAACAAUAAUAACAGUAAGGACCAAUAUACAAUGCACGAAGAUGCGUGGGGACUCAAGCUAGAAAUAACCCAUGCCACAAAACGCAUCACUGUAGCGCAGACCAAAGUGCAAAUGUGUACAAUUAAUAGGGCAGAUUAAAAAAAACAAAAUUGGACUCGAUCUAAUUAAGUACCAGUGCAAAAGGAAGGGACUAAAUGCACAAUUUUCCCUUUACCGCAGCAAACGCGCGGAUCCUGAGGGUUAGGAGUCGGGUCGGGUCGGGCUUAUCCAUGCGGCACCGUUUUGAGCCAUUGAAGCGGGCUCAAACGGCACCGUUUUGGGUUCUUUAUGAAGACCCCUUUUAGCCUAUUCAGCCAAACCCUAGCCUCCAUUCUUCUCCUCAGCCGAACCCUACCCCUUUAAUGCUAGUGUCGAUCUGCCUUCACAUGCGGCAACCGACUGGUUCGGACUCUAAAGGGCCACUUUGCAGCCUUGAAGCUCCCCUCAAAACUCUGAUUUCGACGGAGCAAAGGAAAGCUGAUGGCCCAAAAGCAAGGUAAAGUUCAUCUCAUCCCUUUCCUUUUAUUUUCGAAAUACAAUGAUGAGAGAUUCGAGUAGAAUACCAGAGAAAAAGAAAAAGAUUAUAGAAAUCGAAAGUGGAAAUCACCUUCUCUAUUUCUUUUUGAUUGCUUUCUAUUAUCGCUGUAUGCGUAAAUGUGCGUAAAAAAAUUACAAGUGAUUCUCUUUAGGCUUUAUAGCUGAGAGAAGAAGAGAAAAAAAAACAAAAUAAAAUAUACAAUUUUUCCCAUUUUCUUGCAUCUGUUGUUUUCUUGUAUGUAUUUGCUGUUGUGGUUUGUCCCUUUCUUCGCAGGUACAGGUGCGUUGGCGCUUGGGUACGGGGCUGGGCUGGCGUACGGAGGUGCAUGCGCGUGGCUGUUGGAGGGUACGGAGGCUAGGGCCGAGGCUUGGCUGCGGCGCGAGAGUGGGAACUGCUAGGGUUUCUAACGUUUUAAUAUUCUGGGCCUAUCGGGCCUUGUAAGUUUGGGUCAGGUCUUAAAUUUGGGUCUAGGUUUAGUUAUUGGGCUUGGGUUAUGUAGCUGGGUUUGGGUCUGUUAUAAAACUGGACUGUUGUAUUGGUUUGGUUUAAAAAAAUUUUAUUUAUUUAUUUUGUAUAUAUUUUGGUUUCUAGUGGGCCCGGGCAAAUUUGGCCCACUACAGGCACGUUUCCUUUGCAGUGUGAUUGUUUGGGAUUUUUGUUAGUAAUGGAGGACGAGCUUGACAAUCUAAAUCUUGACGAUGAAGAGGAGGAGUUGAUUCUUUGUGAAAAAGAUCUGAAUGAUUUAGAAGAUGACUAUCGAUUUUGCUUGGUAGAAAAAGCUGUAACAAAGUGUGUGGUUCAUUUUCCCUCUCUAAAAGAGGGAGUUACAAUCACAAAUAGGGGGAAAAAAGGUAUUUGUUCCAUUUCUUCUAUGGGAUUGAUAUAAAUAAGGUUUUGGAUGGUAUACCCUGGUCAUUCAAUAGGCACCUUAUUGUUUUUCAUUGAUUGAAUGGUGGGGAAGACCCAAUGAAAGUGUCUAUUUAAAUUUUAUUCAAUAUUAUGUUUUAUCAAACGUUAUUUGAACUGAAUUAAUUUGAUUGGACCAAGAACAAGUCAAGAGAUUGGUUCGAAGAGUAAUUUUGAACCAGUUAGAUCGAGAAUCAGUACGAACAAGCUAAAAAACCAAUUGAACUAGAUUUUUUUUUAAAAAAAAUAUUUUUUUUAAAUUUUAAUAAUUUUGUAAUUACAAAAUCGAACCGAUAACUUGAUGGAUUUGAUUAUCGAUCUGAUUUUAAAAACAUUAAAUUUAUCAUCUAGACUAAACAAAUUUAUUAUAUAUAUAUAUAUAUAUAUUUUUUUUUUACUUUUAUCUCAUGUUUGAUCAUAACAGUUUGUGAUUUUUUUGGCAUUCACCCUAUUAUAUAUAUGGGUUGAAUAUACUAGACAUUCCAAAACUAUGAUCCAUGUUUUAAAUUUGUCUUCAAAUUUUAAGAUAUUUUAAUUGAGUCAUUAGAGUAUCAAUAUUAAUCAAUCAAAUCCUUCUAUUAGUCUAAUACUUAUCAUAUUAGACACUAAACGUUAGCUCGAAUAGGAUGUGGAGCAUAUCCAAAACAUGUGAAUCAAAUUUUAAACAUGUAGGUACUUGUUGCAUUGACAACUUGGAUUUAACUUGGAUUUAACAUGUUGAAAAAAAAAACCAAAAAACCAACUUGGAUUUAAUGACACUGUUCUUUUUGGUUCUUUUUUUACAUUAUAGAUCUAAGUUGUCCAAACAAUAAGUAUACAAGUGUUAGAUUUUGAUAUAUAUAUAUUUUAGUUGCAAGAUUUUUAUCUAAAUGUUUUAAAUAUGCCCUACAUUAAAUUUGAAUUGAUAAUUAACUCCCUACAUUAAGAUAAUAGAAAAACCUCAUUGGUACAAUACUCACUAUAAUUCUUAAGUAUAUAAAUAAAAAAUUUACGUUGGAUACUAUUUAUGACGUUGGACUUAUUGUAACUUUCCUUAUGAAGUUCCGUUUGAAGGUAAAAAAUGUAAACUUUCGUCUGAUAGAUUGAGGAAACCUUAAGUGCUGAUUUGUUAACUAUAUAUGAAAUGAGUCUCUUUCUAAAUUGGGGAAAUUAUGGUUUUGAUCUUCUUACAACUUGUAAACAGCGUGUGGAAGUAACAUAUGUUUGUAUGUCCGGUGAAUUGGUUGAAGAGUGAUGUGGGUACCAUUUGCAGUGGAGCGCUGCUGCAUAUUUGAUGUUUACUUCAUUAAACAUUGAUUAUAAGAAAAUGAUAUAAGAGGGAAAGUUCAAAGUAAACGCUGGAUUCUCACAAUUAUGGAGCCCCUCUAUCCACAAUGAUUGUUUGUAUUACAAACGUCUAAACUAAGUUAAACUUUGGGGUCUCUGCAUUUCAUUUCUUCGGAAUUACAUAAAUCAAAGCAUGUUAAACUUGUGAAAUUUCAUUUUAUUUCUUACUUUUUAAUUACAAGUAUCUAUUCUAUUUGGGGUUGCAUUGAUUUCAAGACUUGCUUAUUAUUGAAAAUUUAAUACAAUCCUAAUAAAACAACAAUACCAUAAGAGUAAUAAUAAUAACAUAUAAAGUAAAUAUGAAUUCAAUUACAAUUCAGUAGCAGAAUCAUGAUCUAAUCCAUAAUCCAAGGGUUUAUUUUGAGAAAUUUCGAUCCAAAUCAAUUACCAAUAUUAAUAUUUCCUUAUAGCAUGAUCUUCUAUAAUGGCCUAGAUAUUCUUUAGAUAAUUAGCGUAGCCCAAAUAAGUCUCUUUCUAAAUUGGAAAAAUGAUGGUUUUUGUCUUCUUAGAACUUGUAAAUAACGUGUUGAAGUUUCGUAAGGAGAUGUUUGAUUGUGAAAUUGUAAAGCAAAACCACAGCUAGAAAGCAUUUAUAACCACUGAUUUCAAACAAGGCAAUGUCGUAAAGAGUGGGUUGAAUGUCCCGUGAAUUGGUUGAAGAGUGCUGUGGGUACCAUUUGCAAUGGGCCGCUACUACGUUAACUUACAUGCAUAUUUGAUGUUUACUUGAUUAAACUUCAGCUGGAUUCUCACGAUUAUGGACCCCCCUCGUCACAAUCAUUUGUUUGUAUUACAAGUACGUAUAAACAGAGUCAAGCUUUGGGGUCUGGAAUUACAUAAAUCAAAGAAUGUUAAACUUAUAAAAUUUCAUUCUAUUUCUUACUUUUUAAUUACAAUCAUCUUAUACUAUUUGGGGUUGAGUUUAUUUAAUCCAACAAACUAUGGCACAUGUUAUUACCAUACUUUAUGUAUUUUUACCCAAUGCUGCCUUAUAUUUAUAUAACUCUACAGGGCAUUCUUCAUUCCUCACGUCCAAUUACUUAAUGACAAAUUUAACCACUAACAUACGCAUGUUUUGUCAAAAUGGCUAUAAUUGUAUUUUUUAGUCUUUUUCUGGUCAUCAACCAUUGUUUUUUUUUCAAUAUGUUAGUUUUAAUGAAAAUACUGUUAAAAAGUUAACGGGGAUGAUGUAGAAUUUCAUACGUGAAAUAUUUUUAAUGAGAUGUAAUUUAUUACUUAGAUAAUCUAAUAAGAUAAUUGCAUGUGAAAAAUAAUAAAAUAAAUAAAUAAUAAAAUUGUUAGAUAACAAUUGAUUUUUAUCAAUCAAUUAAUUAUAUUUUAUAAAUAUUAAUUAACUAUUUAAACUUUUUAUUUUCUAUUGUAUCAAUUAUGUUAUUUUUUUGUUAAUUAUAAACUUUAAAUUUAUGAAAUUAUUUUUUAUUAAAAAAUUAUGAAAACUUUAAAUUGAUUCAUUUGAAUAAUUCAUUUUGAAUUGACCUUAAAGACUAUUCAAAUCAACCCUUUUGGUAUAUAGUGUUGAGUAUGAGUUGGAUCAUUUACUCAGGUAAGAUUUAUUAACCUCAAUUAAUAAAAAAACUAAUUUAAUUAUAAAAAUAUAUAAAUAUUAAUUAUAAAACUAAUUUAACCUCAAUUAACUUCCAUUAAAAUUAAGUUCUCUCUCUCUUUCAGGAUAACACAAAUUCAAGUGAUAUGGGAAAGAAUACGUGUAGCGAUGUAAAAAAAAUUGUUUGGUUUCAGUCGCUAAUUGAGGCAAUCUAUUGAAAAACUUGAAAGCUAAAAUUUGAUUUUAAAAUAAACCGGGAGUCGCCACCGAUCCUUUUUCCUAGGUAUGAUCGGAUACCUAUUAGAUUUUUUUUUACAAAAAGAAGGCUGAGUUUAGGGUCUAGGUUAAAAACCAGAGAAAAAUUAGGGCUCGGGAGUCGGUUACGCGCGAGGAAGGUAUUAGCACCCUCGCGACGCCCAUAAAUUGGUAUCUCAUAAACACGUGUUGUCUUGAUUUUUAAAAAUACGAGUUCAAUAUUAAAAUUUAGUCGUGAUCCAAUUAAAAGAAGACGAGAAAUUUUAGUUUAUUCCGGUUUUUGAGAAGGGUAUAUCGCUUUAACACGAGUCAAUUGACGUUCACCCAACAUAGCGAUGAACUCGAUGACUUAAUGUUAAAUCGGUAUAUUGCCUUGAUUGUUGAAAUUAAUUAGAAGGACAUGGAUAAAAUUCUUGAAGUAAUGAAAAACAAAAUUGAGAUGAACUAAAAAUAAAUAAAUGGAAAAAUUAAAAAUAUGCUGAAGUAAAUAACAUAUAGGGCAAUAAUGCAAAAAUAUUGAAAAUAUAUAAUAUAUAUAACACAUAGAUGAUAUAUGCAUAUACAUUAGAAAUAACAACAAUAUAAAAAUGGACUUACUAAUAUACUACGUGGACAUAUACAUUCACAGAUAUAAAUAAUAAGGAUAUUAGAAAUACUAAGUAUAUAAUGUUGGACUAAAUACAUAAUAUAAAAAUUUGUAGAAUGUAGUAUUAAAAUAUGUGCACGAUAUAUACUUAUUUAAAAAUAAUAAUAAAACUGUUGAUAAUAUUUCACAAAUAUAUAUAUAUACUAAAAUAUACAUAACAAUAUAUAAAGUAUAAUAUAUUAAAAAACGUAUGUAAAGCAUAUGAAACGAAAAUACAUAUGUUAAAUAAUAUUAAAAUAUUUACAUAAUGCAUACAUAUAGGGAACAAACAGCUAAUAAUACAUGGAUAUAUACAUAGGCAUAUUAAAUAUAUAUACAUAUAAUCGAUAUAGAAAUAUUAGAAUAAAGUAAUUAAAAAGUAAUGCUAUGCACAAAUAGAUAUAUACAUAUAUAACAAAAUAUAUACUAUGGUUAAUGAUAAUAACAAUGACGAUAUAAAGAUGAAUACAUACAACAACACAUUCACUACAUUAACAACCAUAAUAGUAAUGGCAUUAAAAUACGAAGAACAACAAUGUAACACAAAAAUACUAUAUAUAUAAAUCUAUACACAUAAAUAAAAAUAUACACUAUUGUAAUAAAGAUAAUAAUAAUAUAUUAUUAAAAUAUAUAAAAGCAAGCAUAACAUUUAAAUAUUAAAAUAAAGUAGCUAAAAUACUAAACAUAAAUACAUAUAUGUAUAUGCAUAUAAUAAAAAUAUAUAAUAAUAAUAAUAAUAAUAAUAAUAUGAAAAUACAAGAAAAUUUAAAUAAGAAUUAAAGAUAAACGAAAAAAAGGACCAAAAUUGGAUUAAAAUCGAAGUUUUGGGGUCAAAUCUAAAAUAAAAAUAAGCCACGGGGUCGUAUUGCAACACGCACGAAACAUGGGGGACUGAAUCAGUAAUAUUCCCGUACUAUCAAAACGCAGCGCAUCAACAGGGGGUAGAUUGCAAGUCAGAUUAAAUUUUAGGGCCAGAUUAUAAUACAAAAUAAACCUGAUUUAAAACACUGAAAAUGCGAAGGAUCUAAUGCGCAAAUAUACCAUUGAAUUAAAAAACACGCGAAUCUGACCUGGUGCGAGUCGGGUCGACUCGACCCGCGUUCAAAACGACGUCGUUUUAUGUAUUAUGGGGGGGACCAAAACGGUGCGUUUUGGUCCCCUAUAAAAGAUAAAAAAUUUUAAAAAAUUCAUUAGGGAAGGGGAGAAAGAAAAAAAAAUAGGAGAGGAGAAGAGAGAAAAGGGAGAGGAGAAAGGAGAGAGGGGGGGACUGUCGGCCAGGGGGUCGUCGGACGGUCCCCGGACCCUCGCCGGCGCCGGCCACCGUACACGGUGGCCGGAAACUGAAAAAGGUUAGAUUUUUCCCUUUUUAAUAUUCUUUUUUUGUAUUAUAUUUUCGUAUAGUUAGUGUUUAUUUAAUAUGCUUGUGCAAAAAAAAAAACAGAUCAAAAACAGUAACUAAAAUGAAAUGGAAUCACUUAGAAUCUUUACCACUUUCGAUUCUCUGAUCUUUGGUGUUCGAUUUUUCUGUGUUGAUACCUGUUUGGAUUGGUUUUCUCGCUCUAUCUACUGUUUCUUUGUUUUGAAAUACAUCUAUGUAUUGUCAAAAACUCCAACCCCCUACAAAGUAUUUCCCUUUGGUUUUUAUAACCAUUUGUCAAUAGUAAUCUAAUAUUGUUGUCUUUUCGUGUGUUUCUUGCAGGGCAUGGGCGAACGGCGGUGGCAGCGGCAUGGUGGAGCAGGUGGCCAGUGCUGGUGUCAGAAGGUUGGUGGGCAAGUGGGAGACUCGAUCAGUGGCAGCUGCUGAGUCAGAGGCCAAGUGGGACUAGGGUUUCCUGAUUCUGGUCUUGGGCUAGGGAUUUGGUAUUGGUUUGGGCUUGUUUUGUUUAGUGGGCUUAUUGGGUUAGGGGUUUUUGGAUUAGGGUAGGUUAGUUUAGGGUAUUGGGCUAAUAGUAUUUGGGUUUGUAAAAGUGUGAAUGGGUUUGGGUUUUAAGGGGUUUAGUGUUUUGUAAAUGGGGUUUUAAUUUGUAAAUGAGAUUGGGCCGAAAUUGGCCUAGUACAAUACGCAAAUUUAAAAAACCCAUUAUUGAACUCAAACCAACUGAAAUAGCAGUGAAACUAAGAAUAUGACUUGUGGGAGUUUUUAUUCAAUUCCAAAAACAACACUUUAAAUCCAUGUCUUAACACAGUUGCUCCAUAUAAACAUGGCAUUGCAAUCCACAGUUUUCACUACAAUUUUUUUUACAUGUUUCUACUACAAAAGCUUCCGGGGAAAUUAUCUACCACAAAAUAGUAGCAGGAAUCAACGGCCAUUUGUAUAUAGUAAAACCAUGCUUGCCUCCAAUAAGAAUUUAUAUACAGCAUAGCUGCGAUACACAAUAGCACCAUCACGUAACAUGCGGAGAAGCUUCCAUAGAAGGCAUCCAUGUCAAUGAAACCAUGGUCUUCUUUGUUGAUAGCUGUAGCUUUCGGUGUCAAUGGUGUUACGACCAGUGAACAAUUCUUUCCUACCAAUGAGCCACAAAGAAAAGGAUUCCCGACGUAGCUGCUUUCAUCAAAUGUUCCCAAUUGUCCAAUCCCUUCAGGUGUUUUUCCAGAUAAAUUGUUGUAUGACACAUUGAAGUAUUCUAGGAAAUUUAACACUGCAAAUUCGACAGGGAUAUUCCCUGUCAAAUUGUUGUAGGAAAGAUCUAGACUUUCCAUGUCCGUGAGGUUAGAAAAUGCUCGUGGGACCGGUCCGGUCAAGCUGUUGUGAGAAAGGUUCAAUGUGAUGAGCUUCAUAAUGUUUUUUGUUUCAAAACUAAUUUUACCAGUAAGCUUAUUGUUAGGUGUGGGUCCCACUAUGUGGGAAACCCAUAAUUUCUGCCACAUUUUAUUGUCUUUUUUGGUUUUGUCAAAAGCCAUUUUUUGGGGGGGGCUUUUAACGGGUGAUGUGGGCAGAAAUUUUUGCAGAGCUAAAAAAAAAACAGAGAGAGAGAAGAAAAUUUCAGUUUUUCAAAUUUGGUGCAGCAGUGAUCAACUCUUCGAUCGAAGGUUCAUCCGUGGUUCGAUUGAGUUGAUUUUUGGACAGCAGCUAGGCGAUAAGGUGUUCUUGACUUUGUAUGGUCGGAUUUUUCAUCCGAGUCUUGUAGCAUCGAAAAUACCCAUUUUUCAGCAGCUGCAUUUUUGGUGAUAUUCUCUCAUUUUUCUCUCUUUUGCUAAAGAUUAUAUAUUGUUAGCCUUGUUGGAGUUGAAUGCUUGUUGUAGGCUUGAUAUUGUGAUCUUGUAGUUGAACAUUUGAUGAUAGUGGAACUCUUGAUCGGACUCUAAAGUCCCGUGGUUUUUACCCUUGAUUUAAAGGGGUUUUCCACGUAAAAAUACCGGUGUCUCUAUUUAUUUUUGUUGUGGUUGCAUUAGUUGAUUUGUGGUUGAUUAAGGUUGCUAGAGAACAUAUCUUGUGCUAUUGUGCUUGCCAUAAUUUUUGACAGGAGUUAUAAGGAGAGAAAGAACACCGGUUGUGCUUUCGCUUUGUUUCGGUUGUUCGGUUUCUUCCCAACACUUAUUGCAGGAGAGAUCAAUUCCAGACAUGUAUUGAAGCAUUCUUCUCUUGUAACUGUAGGAGUUGCUCUUUACUGUGUAUUCUAUUGGAACUUCAAUGGACAUCGAGCUGUUGGUGUCGACAUCAAGCAGAUGAUACCAAAUAUAUUGCUCGAUUACGUAGUUUAGCACACUAACUUUUAAACAAGAAGGAAUACCACCAGAGAGAUUGUUUUGAGAAAGAUCAAUUAGGCUUAAACGAUCCAACUUGCAUAAUUGAAUUGGAAUUUCACCCUCAAAGUGGUUUCCCUUUAAGAGAAGAUAACUUAAGUCAGAAAGGUGGCUAAUCCAAUUUGGAAUGUUACCCUUCAAGUGGUUAUAGCUGAGAUCCAAUAUCACCAACGAAGAACUGUCACGAAAAGCAUUCGAUAACGCUCCUUGUAACAUAUUUUUAGAUAAAUGAACUUCCUUCGCCGAUACCGGCUUGAAGCAAGACGGUAGAGUCCCGUAUAAACUGUUCAUGGAAAGGUCCAAAAAUUUUAGUUUGAGAUUUAGACUGCAAAUUGCCCUUGGUAUUGAACCAUUAAGUUGAUUAUCUGCCAUGGAAACUUGUUCCAAAUUCGAAACAUUUCCCCUCCAUUGUGGCAACCUACCAAAGAGCUGGUUCCUGCUCACAUCCAAUUCUGCCAACCUUGACUUAUUCCAAAUCCAACUUGGGACUUCACCAAAGAUAUAGUUAUUUCUAAGAUCUAGUAUGUACAAGUCAGAGCAGUUAGCUAAGACAUUUGGGAUCAUCCCAGUGAAGUUAUUUCCAUUUAAUUCGAGCUCGGACAAGCUCGUUAGAUUAAAAUUUCCAGAGAAAAUUGAUCCUUGUAAUGUGUUAUUUGAUAAUGCAAGGAAUUGUAAUGAAGAGCAUCCCGUAGCCAUGUGCUCAGGUAUCUUUCCAGAUAAUUGGUUGUUUGAUAAGUCCAAAACUUGUAGGGAACUCAUAUCACCAAAUGAAGAAGGAAUGCUGCCAUUGAAACAAUUCUUUGACAUGUUCAAAUAAUCCAAAAAUGGUAGGCGUGCUCCAAUUCUUACUGGGAUGUUGCCACCGAAGGCAUUGUAGGAGAUAUCCAAAUAUAUUAAAGCAGAAUGAGCACGCAAUGGCACUUGAAAAGGCCCUGACAGAGAGCAAUUCAUGAGUCUCAGGGUUCCUAGCUUCGUGUUGUUUUCCAACAACCAAAACGGAAAUCGAUCCACCUUGAAAUAUAUGUUUGAGAGAGUAACCUUCUGCAACUCACUUUGAUGGUAAAAGAAUUGUGGAAAUGACCCACCAGUUCCACAACAAGAUAAGCUGAUGGAACUCAAUUGGAACCUUGGAGCCGAAGAAUGGGACAUUUCAUGAUCAUCAGCAUGUAUGGUGUUGUUAUCUGCAUUGAAGUACUUGAGUUUUGAAAGGUUGAACAAGGGUCUUAAUGAGCUUAGGAUGUGAAAUUUAUUGUUUGAAAUAUCCAAUAAUUGGAGGGAUGUUAGACUUUCAAGGGCUGAUAUAUUUCCAAAGAACUGGUUAGAAGAGAGGUCCAAAAAUUCAAGCAAUGUUAGGCUCUGAAGGACAGAUAUAUUUCUAGAGAACUGAUUAGAAGAGAGGUCCAAAGAUUCAAGCAAUGUUAGGCUCUGAAGGGCAGAUAUAUUUCCAGAGAACUGAUUAGAAGAGAGGUCCAAAGAUUCAAGCAAUGUUAGGCUCUUAAGGGCAGAUAUAUUUCC
rnacentral:lncRNA from 1 species